CUUGGUCAUUUAGAGGAAGUAAAAGUCGUAACAAGGUCUCCGUUGGCGAACCAGCGGAGGGAUCAUUACCGAGUUUACAACUCCCAAACCCCUGUGAACAUACCUAUACGUUGCCUCGGCGGAUCAGCCCGCGCCCCGUAAAAAGGGACGGCCCGCCCGAGGACCCCUAAACUCUGUUUUUAGUGGAACUUCUGAGUAAAACAAACAAAUAAAUCAAAACUUUCAACAACGGAUCUCUUGGUUCUGGCAUCGAUGAAGAACGCAGCAAAAUGCGAUAAGUAAUGUGAAUUGCAGAAUUCAGUGAAUCAUCGAAUCUUUGAACGCACAUUGCGCCCGCCAGUAUUCUGGCGGGCAUGCCUGUUCGAGCGUCAUUUCAACCCUCAAGCUCAGCUUGGUGUUGGGACUCGCGGUAACCCGCGUUCCCCAAAUCGAUUGGCGGUCACGUCGAGCUUCCAUAGCGUAGUAAUCAUACACCUCGUUACUGGUAAUCGUCGCGGCCACGCCGUAAAACCCCAACUUCUGAAUGUUGACCUCGGAUCAGGUAGGAAUACCCGCUGAACUUAUGCAUAUCAAUAAGCGGAGGA
rnacentral:rRNA from 1 species